CAGCCGCCGCGGGAAUACGUAGGUGGCAAGCGUUGUCCGGAAUUAUUGGGCGUAAAGGGCUCGCAGGCGGUUUCUUGAGUCUGAUGUGAAAGCCCCGGCUCAACCGGGGAGGGUCAUUGGAAACUGGGAAACUUGAGUGCAGAAGAGGAGAGUGGAAUUCCACGUGUAGCGGUGAAAUGCGUAGAGAUGUGGAGGAACACCAGUGGCGAAGGCGACUCUCUGGUCUGUAACUGACGCUGAAGAGCGAAAGCGUGGGGAGCGAACAGGAUUAGAUACCCCUGUAGUCCCUGUCUCUUAUACC
rnacentral:rRNA from 1 species